CUUAAUUGGGCGUUAAGUUGCAGGGUAUAGACCCGAAACCCGGUGAUCUAGCCAUGGGCAGGUUGAAGGUUGGGUAACACUAACUGGAGGACCGAACCGACUAAUGUUGAAAAAUUAGCGGAUGACCUGUGGCUGGGGGUGAAAGGCCAAUCAAACCGGGAGAUAGCUGGUUCUCCCCGAAAGCUAUUUAGGUAGCGCCUCGUGAAUUCAUCUCCGGGGGUAGAGCACUGUUUCGGCUAGGGGGCCAUCCCGGCUUACCAACCCGAUGCAAACUGCGAAUACCGGAGAAUGUUAUCACGGGAGACACACGGCGGGUGCUAACGUCCGUCGUGAAGAGGGAAACAACCCAGACCGCCAGCUAAGGUCCCAAAGUCAUGGUUAAGUGGGAAACGAUGUGGGAAGGCCCAGACAGCCAGGAUGUUGGCUUAGAAGCAGCCAUCAUUUAAAGAAAGCGUAAUAGCUCACUGGUCGAGUCGGCCUGCGCGGAAGAUGUAACGGGGCUAAACCAUGCA
rnacentral:rRNA from 1 species